rnacentral:sRNA from 1 species
CGUGGUCUGACCUUCUUAACUUUCAGUCUCAAUCCUCAAAGCGAAGUCCGUAUUGUUGUCAAAGGUGGAAAGCCUUCGUAUUGAAUGAGGGAAGAUUGACACUUUGCUGCAACCUUGCCUUUCCGUGCGAGGAAGGAGUAGAGAUACUUAUAUCAUGGAAAUCGGAGCUGAGACCUACGUUGGAGUUCUAGCGAUGCCCCACUGCUUGUGGUAGAAAUUUGCUGGCCGAACGUCAGUCCUACUUCGCUGUCUAUUUCUAACUCUUUUGUGGCCUCGUUUUUCUGGGAACCAUGCCCAAGCGGGACUUGAAUGAGAGGGCACGGGUGGGGAAAAGCUGUCAAAACUGUCGGGGUCGAAAGUGUACCCAUUCAAUUUUGAACGAGAUACCAGCCUUGGAAUAUAGCGCUAUAAUGCUCCAUGCCCGAAAGUAUCUGUAGUGUCUGAAGUCUCAGAUGACGGCUAGCGUGCGAGAAAGGAGAAUACUGGAAGGAAAAGCCGUCCAUAUUUUUGAAUGGAUGUCUGUAAAAAGGCGUCAAUGAAGGGUAGAGGGUCGGGGAAUGAAUAUGCUCCUGUAGGGAAAGAGGAGAAACCGGCGAAAUAGAUUCGAUGACACCCGCCGCACAAGAUGCGCUGCAUCUACACACCCCCUUCUUUGACAAGCAACAAUAGAAUGACCAACAAUACCCGUACGGUGGAGCAACAACGUUUGCCGAAUAGAUUUCCCCUCUCAUAUUAUGUCUAAUGUUGUGAAAAACUGG